AAUUUGAAAUCUGGCCCUUUUGGGGUCCGAGUUGUAAUUUGUAGAGAGUGCUUCGGGUGAGACUGCGGUCUAAGUCCAUUGGAACAUGGCGUCCCAGAGGGUGAGAAUCCCGUAUGUGACCGCGGCUCGAGCCCAUGUGAAGCCUCUUCGACGAGUCGAGUUGUUUGGGAAUGCAGCUCUAAAUGGGUGGUAAAUUUCAUCUAAAGCUAAAUACUGGCUGGAGACCGAUAGCGCACAAGUAGAGUGAUCGAAAGAUGAAAAGCACUUUGGAAAGAGAGUUAAACAGUACGUGAAAUUGUUGAAAAGGAAGCGCUUGCAACCAGACCUGCCCGUAGGCGAUCACCCGCUGUUCUCAGCGGUGCACUCGUUCUGCGAUCAGGCCAGCAUCGGUUCGGGCGGCCGGAUAAAGGCCUUGGGAAUGUAGCUCCCUUUCGGGGGAGUCUUAUAGCCCUCGGUGCAAUGCGGCCAGCCGGGACCGAGGACCGCGCUUCGGCUAGGAUGCUGGCGUAAUGGUUGUAAGCGACCC
rnacentral:rRNA from 1 species